rnacentral:tRNA from 1 species
AAAAAGAUAAGCUAAUCUCCAAGCUACUGGGCUCAUACCUCAUUUAUAAAGGUUCCAUCCCUUUUCUUUUUA